rnacentral:snRNA from 1 species
GGAUGUGUGGAUGAUAUGUUUGUGACAUCUGUCACCCCACUGAUCACCAGGGUUGAUUGUGGCUGGCUAAACAGAUGUCCCCUUUCCCCUCAUCACUCCAUGUGUGCCCUUCCCUGCGCUUCGUCAGAGGACAACCACCCUGGAUAGAGGAGGACUGUUUCCUUGAGCAAGGCUAUAUGGGUAGCUGCGCCUCCCCUGCUAGAACUUCCAAACAAGCUCUCAAGAAUGAGGACUGGAGCUCUCAGAAACUCAGUACCUGAGGAGGAGGAGGGGAGAGAGGUACUGACUCUAGG